rnacentral:rRNA from 1 species
GGGUGACGAGUGGCGGACGGGUGAGUAAUGUCUGGGGAUCUGCCCGAUAGAGGGGGAUAACCACUGGAAACGGUGGCUAAUACCGCAUAACGUCGCAAGACCAAAGAGGGGGACCUUCGGGCCUCUCACUAUCGGAUGAACCCAGAUGGGAUUAGCUAGUAGGCGGGGUAAUGGCCCACCUAGGCGACGAUCCCUAGCUGGUCUGAGAGGAUGACCAGCCACACUGGAACUGAGACACGGUCCAGACUCCUACGGGAGGCAGCAGUGGGGAAUAUUGCACAAUGGGCGCAAGCCUGAUGCAGCCAUGCCGCGUGUAUGAAGAAGGCCUUCGGGUUGUAAAGUACUUUCAGCGGGGAGGAAGGCGAUGUGGUUAAUAACCGCGUCGAUUGACGUUACCCGCAGAAGAAGCACCGGCUAACUCCGUGCCAGCAGCCGCGGUAAUACGGAGGGUGCAAGCGUUAAUCGGAAUUACUGGGCGUAAAGCGCACGCAGGCGGUCUGUUAAGUCAGAUGUGAAAUCCCCGGGCUUAACCUGGGAACUGCAUUUGAAACUGGCAGGCUUGAGUCU